CUUGAAUCAUUGUUAUCCGCAUCGUUGUGUAUCAGCCGUUGAUCUUACUCCCCGUAUUCAAUCUCAAUCGUCCAUUUUUUAUGACGCCCCUAUAAGUUUAGGGUUUCCCUCUUUCCCUUCAGCCGGACGUUUUCCGAUUGUUUUCUUCAGAUCUUCUCUUCGUUUCUUCUUUUUAUACCUCUUAGGCUCUGGAUCUUGCUGGAUCGCCGAGCGAUCUACGUUUUGGUAGUCUUUUUGCAACAUGUAGUUGGAUCUUAAUCUUUUGUAGGUUCGUAAUCUUUCCUCUUUCCUUCAGAAUUGUCACAAGGUCUGGAUCUGAGAGUUUUGACUCUUGUAUUCUUCCAACUAUGAAGAUCUGUCGAGGUUUUCGAUUUUGUAUUCGCACAGGAUCAAGCUGUUUCGCGGAACUGCUGUUUGAUAUGCAGUUUCUGGGUUAAAUUUGCUUCAGAUCUUUUUAUCACCCUUAAGAUGAGUUUCAAUACGUCACCAAUGGCUCCCGUGGUGGUUCUAGACUGCGAUAAUCGUUCGUUUUCAGAUCGUGGCUCCGUUGUCGAACUCUCCACUUGUCGUAUAAUACAUCUACGUUUGCAUCGAACGAAGUAUAGUGGCUGAUCAUUCAAGAUCGUGGUUGGUUAACUGUAUCGGAGGAUGAUCAAAAUCUGCUAGUUUGAUGCAGUUCACUAUUGUGAAUGUGUUGUACCAACAAAGCUAAAGAUGCAGAUGACAGGUUAUUUAUAAAUGUGUAGGACAUCGGGACUCUGAGCGCUUAGGGGGCUUUGUUUCGAUUGUUCUUUGUCACCAGACCUUUGCCAUGACAGGUGCGCUUGCAUGGCAGGUCACCAAAGCCUAAUAAAAAGUUCAUUUUUUUUGCCGGAGGGGGGAUCGCACGGGGAUUUGCCCGGGUUCUCUCCUCUUGUGUGCGGUCUCCUGCUUUUCUUUUUGUUUUUGCUAUUUCCAUAUUUACUAGUUCCUGAAUUGCCAAAGCCAAUCAAAUCCGAACAGCGUCAUCGUUUUAAGAACUCCAUGCCAUUAUGGUUCUCACACCAGCGAGGUUCAAUCUUCUAUGAAAGGUACACACUGCCUUAAGCAUUGUUUAUUUGAAGUCGUUAAUAUUUCACAGCAAAAAAAAAAUCAACACUAUAAUUUUAAUUUGUAAGUAAUGUUUUUCAGAAUUAUGAUUAUUGAUUAUAUGUUUUUAAACCAUUUAUGUUAUUUUCUCAACCGAAAGAUACUCUUUAUGAACAUAAAAUAAAAUGAGAAUUGCAGUUAUCUUUAACUGCACACUGUGAGCGCAACCAUCUGGUUAAAAUUUAGAAAACAAGCUUUUCAACCUGCUGUCUUCAAUCUCUUACUACCCCGACAUUAUCAAUUGUCAUUUCUAGUUUGAAGAUCUGAAGAGCAAUGUUUUAUGAAAUUAUUAUGCCUAGAAUCAUGCUUUCCCCCAUACAAUAAAUGUAGAUUUUAAAAUUUCAACUAGAUUUCUUGUUCUGCGUUUGAAGCAAUGAUAUGAAAAGUGGGGCAACAACUUCUAUGAAAAUAACUUGUUGCUAGACAUGUAGAAGAAUAAAUUCUUUAUAGCCCUAGAAAAAGGAUUCUACAUGUUAUAGAAUUAAAUAUUAUUGCCCUAGCUAAAGCAUUUUGCAUCCAUGUUAUCGAAAUGAAGUGUUUAUUAUGUUCUACUAUGAUUAAGCAUGAAUUUUCAGUUUACACCACUAUAAGUCGCUCUUUUCUUUUGAAGUCCUAUGAAUAGUCAAUACCCUCUUAUGGCAGAAGAGUAAAAUUUACUACUGAAUGAUAAUGAUCAUUAAUUUGAUAUUCAAUAUACAUUCCCACCAUUGUAGAUAAAUCCACUAGCAAUUUCAAUUUGUUCCGUAGCUUGGGAAGCAUCAUGAUUGUUUCUUAUUUUAUGUUUGAUGCGAUAUGGUCUACCAUUGGCACUUUUGUUCAUUGUUACUGCCUCCCAGGCGUAAUUAUUUGUUUCAGUUAUUCUAAAUUUGUUGGAGCGAGUUGUAUCUGUUUUAUUUGUUUUUAAGGACACCAUUAGUAAUGCGAAGGUGAUUCUGCCAACAUGUAAUGGACAUGUGUACAUUAGGUCAUCAGUAGUUUGUAUUAUGCAUGUAUUGUCAUUGUACUCUGUUGAAUUGCAAAAUUGUUAUUCGAGACCAAGCAUUUUGUGCUAGAUGUGGUGUUGGCUGGUAUAAAAGCAUGGUGGCUGUGGCUGCUGGUGCGCAAGAAUGUUUGCUGAGGACCAGUACACAAGGUUGAUUGCACAAUGGUUUACUUGACAACGUGAGUUUGAUUGGGAGUAAGUUUGGAUUGCUUGGAAAUUUGAGUAUGUGGCUGACCAGGUACAAUGUUUUGUUAUGCAAGUUUCCCAUGCACGGGUUGGCUGGUAAUAGCUUUGGAAGCUCGGAUGCUGUGUUGAAUAUGUUCAAGAAAGGAUCAUCUAUUUUUCACGUUCAUAUUGGAUGCUUGAGUUGCUUGCUUCUUGGACUUUGUGUUGUAUUCCAUCCCAUUUGUACAAAUGAAUCUGUAGAAUGCUGCUUCUGUAGAUGCUAGAUGAAUUUCAACAGGUCGAUGGACAAGCAAAUUCAUGAGUUGGCCUUCAACAAAAGCGUGAAAGAGGCCCCGCUGUCUCUUGCCAUCUCUGUAAUCUUGGAGGUGAAUUUUAUUGUUUGGAGUUUUUAGUACUAAAUCAAUCCAGUAUUAUAGAUUAUCUAUA